CUUCAAUGAGGGCUGAGGUCACGUGGGUUACAGCAGCCCAAGGAAAGGGAGCAUUAGAGGUGAGCGUGCAAGUGGAGAGGAAGCUGAGAAGGGAGACUGGGUUUGGGGCUGUUUGAGUCUCCCCUCCUUUGGUUAUUGGCCCUGCGACUUUGGGCAAGUUCUUGAACCUUGCCAUGCUUCCACGUGCUCACCCGGAAAAUGGGGAUACCAUAUCUUCUUUUGUUGAGAUUAAAUGACGUAAUGGAUGUAGCUGUGUUUUCGCAGUGAGUGGCAUCAGGACUCCUGUUGGUCUAUACAUGUCUUUGCGUGAAUUAGGUAAAAGGGCCCCGUUUCCAGGUAGAUGCAGCCCCCGGCCAGGAUGCAGGGAGCUGCAUUCUGAUGCUAUUCUUCCCUAGACACGGAGCCUUGGGCAGCACGCAAACUGCACGCUGACUCUCAGUGAUUCUGUUUGACCCACCAAUUCUCAACAAAAAGCAUGCUGAACAGAUGAAGUCGAAAAAAGAGACUAUGAACCUGCUGAGGACAGAGAAUGCAAACACUUGGGAGUUUCCGCUGCAGCUCAGCACGUUAUCAACCUGACUAUGUGCUUCCUGUGAGCUGCUCAGGGGAGACAUCAGCUCCACCCACUCAGCAUCCUCCUGAUAGGUAGUGAGCUCCCCGUCCUACCGGUAUGUAAGUGUGAGCUGGAGAAGAGACUCUUUUACCUUCGUGGCAGCCUUUAGAUCUCAUGUGCUCCGCACUA
ensembl:lncRNA